CAGAGGAUAAUUUAAUACUAAGAUACUAGCUUUGGGGGCUAGUUAUAGGGGUUUAAAUCCCCUUCCUUUGA
rnacentral:tRNA from 1 species